GAGAAAAACCCUAAAUCAACAGUAGAUCUGUAAAUCUAUGAUCAUCAAAUAUAAACCAUGGAUGAUAUUUCAUCAACGCCAUCAGCAGCAGCAUCAACAUUUACAACUUAUCUCGAUCAGCAUAAUGAUUUCUCCUCUCAUUAUUUUGACUUCUUUUUUCUGAGGUAUUUCAUUCGUGGGAUUGGUGGUCAUUCUGGUGGGGUAUCCAUUUAUUUGGUGAGACCAUCAGUUUUAUCAGGAUCCCUCUGGCGGAUAUGAGCUUCUUGAAUUACUCUAACAACUCCAAAAAUCUUGAAACAAAAGUUUUAGAUCUCACAAGUUCAAUUACAUUAAGGAAUCCUAUAUAUUCUCUCAGAAGUCUCUUGUCACCAAUUUUACAUUUUUUUCAUUGAGUUAUUGUUGUGUCUAAUACCUUUCUUUGGUUUUAUCAUAUUAUAAUUCAAGUUUACAAAUUGUGUGUCAUAUCACAAUCUGUAUUCAGAUUUACAGAUUGUGUUUUAUCAUACUUGUUUCUAUUCUAGUAUUUGAUAUCUAAAAUCACUUUGUGUUA